rnacentral:rRNA from 1 species
UACGGAGGGUGCGAGCGUUGUCCGGAAUCAUUGGGCGUAAAGGGCGCGUAGGUGGCCCGGUCAGUUCGUGGUGAAAGCGCGGGGCUCAACCCUGCGUCGGCCAUGAAUACUGCCGCGGCUGGAGCACUGUAGAGGCAGGCGGAAUUCCGGGGUGUAGCGGUGGAAUGCGUAGAGAUCCGGAAGAACACCGGUGGCGAAGGCGGUUGGCUGGGCCACAACUGACACUGAUGCGCGACAGCGUGGGGAGCAAACAGGA